ACCUGGGUGGCUCAGUUGGUUAAGCUUCUGACUUCAGCUCAGGUCAUGAUCUCAUGGUUUGUGGGUUCAAGCCCCGCAUCAGGCU
rnacentral:tRNA from 1 species